rnacentral:ncRNA from 1 species
UCGAUCGCAAUGAGAAAGAAGAGUAUGUUAGACGAUAGCUUCAGCGAGUCUCGUUUGGUGUGAGGAGACAGUUUUAACUCUAACUGAAAAUCACUUUCGAGUCUACAGCUUAAAUACCAGUAAGCUGUAGUGGUUACACCCAUUAUCGUGUCAGCGUAUCGCCAUUAUGGCCGUACGUGUGAGGUAUUGUUAGCAAUAGCAGUACAAUGAUAGGGUGGUACCACGCUCAGCGUCCCUUAG